rnacentral:rRNA from 1 species
GUCUAUGACAAUACCAACCUGAAUGUACCUAACCUCACCAGGUCUCAGAACCCAAGCAGGGACAGGCCUGGUUAGUAUUUGGAUAGGAAGAGCAUCCAUACAAAAAGCUCUUUUUCAAAACCAGUAUGUUUUUUUUU